rnacentral:rRNA from 1 species
UACGAGGGGUGCAAGCGUUGCUCGGAAUUAUUGGGCGUAAAGGGUAGGUAGGUGGUCUUAUUUGUCUGGGGUGAAAGCCUUGGGCUUAACUCAAGAAGUGCCCCAGAAACGGAAAGACUCGAGUCCUGGAGAGGGUCGUGGAAUUCCCGGUGUAGCGGUGAAAUGCGUAGAGAUCGGGAGGAACACCAGAGGCGAAAGCGGCGACCUGGACGGGCACUGACACUCAACUACGAAAGCGCGGGGAGCAAACAGG